rnacentral:lncRNA from 1 species
UUCGUUAGCGUAUUGCUUCAGAUCUGCUGUACAACAAUAUUGCAGUUUGUGUAUUGUCUUCUGUUUUAUUGUCUGUACACAUGUCUGUUUUUCGUGUUUUGUCUUCUGUGUACAAAUGGUAUUGUUGUCAUUCAUGUAUUUCUUGUUCUGUAUAAAGGUACUAUUGUUCGUGUUUUGUCUUCUGGUGUUCACCUGUCCUAUUGUUUUCUGUUGUACAACGGUAUUGUUGCUCAUAUAUUGUCUUUUGUCCUGCUGUACAACCGUAUUAUUGUUCAUAUUUUUUUUUUACCCUGAUGUUCAUCUGGCUACCUUAUUUUCGUUGUGUACUAUCAUCUGCUGUUCACCUGUCUGACACAGUUAAACUCAGGUGUUGUUGUCGUUCGUAUAUGGUCCCAAGCUGCACACCCAUCUUGUUGAUCCUAUCCUUGUGUUUUUUUCGCGUUUUGUCCUCUGCUUUACUCAUAACUUGUUUUGCUGUUUUUAAUGCUCUUCUGUCCAGUGUAUACUGAGGUACUUGAAAGGUACUCCUUGUAGCACUAAUACUGUGACUUUG